AAACGACUCUCGGCAACGGAUAUCCCGGCUCUCGCAUCGAUGAAGAACGUAGCGAAAUGCGAUACUUGGUGUGAAUUGCAGAAUCCCGUGAACCAUCGAGUCUUUGAACGCAAGUUGCGCCCGAAGCCAUUAGGUUGAGGGCACGUCUGCCUGGGUGUCACGC
rnacentral:rRNA from 4 species